UUAAAAGACCUAGCAAUAGGUAUGCUUAGGGAAGAGCUUGCGUCACAUUAGUUAGUUGGUGGGGUAAUGGCCUACCAAGACGAUGAUGUGUAGCCGGGCUGAGAGGUCGAACGGCCACAUUGGGACUGAGACACGGCCCAAACUCCUACGGGAGGCAGCAGUAAGGAAUUUUCGGCAAUGGCGGAAACUCUGACCGAGCAAUGCCGCGUGAACGAUGAAGUAUUUUGGUACGUAAAGUUCUUUUAUUAGGGAAGAAAAGAUGGUGGAAAAACCAUUAUGACGGUACCUAAUGAAUAAGCCCCGGCUAACUAUGUGCCAGCAGCCGCGGUAAUACAUAGGGGGCAAGCGUUAUCCGGAAUUAUUGGGCGUAAAGGGUGCGUAGGCGGUUAAAUAAGUUUAUGGUCUAAGUGCACCGCUCAACGUCGUGAUGCUAUAAAAACUGUUCAGCUAGAGUUGGAUAGAGGCAAGUGGAAUUCCGUGUGUAGUGGUAAAAUGCGUAAAUAUACGGAGGAACACCAGAAGCGAAGGCGGCUUGCUGGGUCUUAACUGACGCUGAGGCACGAAAGCGUGGGGAGCAAACAGGAUUAGAUACCCUGGUAGUCCACGCCCUAAACGAUGAGUACUAAACGUUGGAUAAAACCAGUGUUGAAGUUAACACAUUAAGUACUCCGCCUGAGUAGUACGUACGCAAGUAUGAAACUUAAAGGAAUUGACGGGACUCCGCACAAGCGGUGGAUCAUGUUGUUUAAUUCGAAGGUACCCGAAAAACCUCACCAGGUCUUGACAUGCUUUUGCAAAGCUGUAGAAAUACAGUGGAGGUUAUCAGAAGCACAGGUGGUGCAUGGUUGUCGUCAGCUCGUGUCGUGAGAUGUUGGGUUAAGUCCCGCAACGAGCGCAACCCUUGUUGUCAAUUGCCAUCAUUAAGUUGGGGACUUUAGCAAGACUGCCAAUGAUAAAUUGGAGGAAGGUGGGGACGACGUCAAAUCAUCAUGCCCCUUAUGACCUGGGCUACAAACGUGAUACAAUGGCUGUUACAAAGGGUAGCUAAAGCGUAAGCUUCUGGCGAAUCUCAAAAAAACAGUCUCAGUUCGGAUUG
rnacentral:rRNA from 1 species